rnacentral:rRNA from 1 species
ACGCACGCUGGCGGCGUGCUUAACACAUGCAAGUCGAACGCUGAAGCUCAGCUUUUGUUGGGUGGAUGAGUGGCGAACGGGUGAGUAACACGUGAGUAACCUGCCUCCUUCUUUGGGAUAACGCCCGGAAACGGGUGCUAAUACUGGAUAUUCACUGGUCUUCGCAUGGGGGUUGGUGGAAAGGGUUUUUCUGGUGGGGGAUGGGCUCGCGGCCUAUCAGCUUGUUGGUGGGGUGAUGGCCUACCAAGGCUUUGACGGGUAGCCGGCCUGAGAGGGUGACCGGUCACAUUGGGACUGAGAUACGGCCCAGACUCCUACGGGAGGCAGCAGUGGGGAAUAUUGCACAAUGGGCGCAAGCCUGAUGCAGCGACGCCGCGUGAGGGAUGGAGGCCGUCGGGUUGUGAACCUCUUUCGCUCAUGGUCAAGCCGCAACAAUGGUUGUGGUGAGGGUAGUGGGUAAAGAAGCGCCGGCUAACUACGUG